rnacentral:lncRNA from 1 species
UUAGAUAUCCAACUAUUACAUUGCGAAUGAAGUUUAUCGGGCGUUGAGGGGGCUAUGAUGACUAAACGUGAUUUGCCAGCUCAUAUUCUGUGACUUUGGAAGUGCAAAGGUUCUGUUAAUUGUAUCUUAUCGCAUUUCAAACUAGACAUGGAAUGGCGGGAGGCAAAGCAAACGAAGUGGCUCUGAAUCAGCUUCAACUUUUGGUGGAAGCAGAUUGAAAAGGAGGACAAAUAGGGCUACUUCCUAGCAACCCUUUAAGCUCAGAAUAGAGGUUAGCAUUUACAGUUGCUUAUGAGACAGUGUUGGUUCUGGCUUGCAGUUUGUUUGGGACUGGAAGGUGUUCUUUUUGAAGACUAGCAUUGUUCGUAUUGCAUUACAUGGGCGCUGUUCCUAGAAAAGAGCCUCGCCAUCACUGUCGGAACAUCAACUCUGCUGCACCGCCACUGGUCAAUUUUACGUUGUCGUUUAUCUGAAAAAGGUGGCAUAAAUUUGGGCACUGGGAAAACGACUUCUAGGCUUGCACGUUCUAUGUGAUUUGCAUACAUUAUCAAGGGCUUGCACUUCCAACCUCUUAGAAAUGGCUUCAUUAAUAUAAAUCUUUUGCCUUUAUUUUUUCAAUCCUACCUGCUGAUAUUUUUUAUAUAAUCUAUAGUAUUAACUACCUGUCACUACUGUGAAGCAAGCAAUGCCAUUAUCACCUCUUCUACCCAUCAGCAUUGCAAAAGUCGUCAGCCGCCAUUACCUAGUGUAAACGUCAUCUUAGGUAUCAUAUAUCAUAUUCUCGCAAUCGUCGCUAAGUCGCUACCUUACGUAUAAGUAAUUCGCAAGGGGGAUUGUUUAGUUUGGAGAGGUUUAUGAGAGUACGGAGAAUAUGGCGUAUAAGGUAUUGGCGAGGGCGAUUGUUACGUUUGCAGAGGUUUAUGAGAGGAUGGAGAAUAUGAAGCAAGAGAAGAUGGUGAGGUUGGAGAAGCAAAGGAUGGAAUUUACUAAAGAGCUUGAGUUUCACAGGUUGAACAUGUUUAUGGAAACUCAGGUUGUGCUUGAAAAAAAAUGAAAAAUAAGAACAAGAGAUCAUCUGCUACAGGUUCCAUGGGUUCAGUAUAUCAUUUUUAAACUUAAUCUUUUGGCUUAUGAUCCUAUCUAUGUUAUGAGUCAAACAAUUGGGUCAAAACAUAUAUGUUUUAGAAGU